UGAGCCAGCCCAGAAAGGUGAACAACCACAGCAACACACGGACGAGCCAGUAGUAAACUGGAGAAAACGUGCCGUCUUCAACUCUACGAUCUACUGGGAUUUCAAAAUUCCUUAUGUCAUCGAUAGUUCCUACGCUGUACUAGGCCCCUACUACACGACGAUCUUAAAACGUGCGAUUCAGUACAUCAUGGACCACGUUUGUUUAACUUUUGUUGAUGAAACAAACAGAUGGGACUCCAGCGACCCGAACUGGUUUAUAAACAACGGUUACGUGAUAAACAAAUAUAUAUGGAUAAAAAAUAAUACAGGAUGUAAUGUUGUCGGUAGUGUUGGUAUAAACGAAAAGGUGCAAGUCUCUCCAUGCUGGGAUUU